UACGAGGGGAGCUAGCGUUAUUCGGAAUUACUGGGCGUAAAGGGCGCGUAGGCGGUUUGUUAAGUCAAUUGUUAAAGCCCAUGGCUUACCCAUGGAUAUGCAGUUGAUACUGGCAGACUAAGAGGGCGAGAGAGAGAAGUGGAAUUCUCGGAGUAGCGGUAAAAUGCGUAGAUCUCGAGAGGAACACCGAUGGCGAAGGCAGCUUCUUGGCUCGUACCUGACGCUGAGGCGCGAAAGCGUGGGGAGCAAACAGGAUUAGAUACCCCGGUA
rnacentral:rRNA from 1 species